AUUGAACGCUGGCGGCAUGCUUUACACAUGCAAGUCGAACGGCAGCGCGGGCUUCGGCCUGGCGGCGAGUGGCGAACGGGCGAGUAAUGCAUCGGAACGUGCCCAGUAGUGGGGGCUAGCCCGGCGAAAGCCGGAUUAAUACCGCAUCCGACCUGAGGGUGAAAGCGGGGGACCGAAAGGCCUCGCGCGAUUGGAGCGGCCGAUGUCGGAUUAGCUAGUUGGUGGGGUAAAGGCUUACCAAGGCGACGAUCCGUAGCUGGUCUGAGAGGACGACCAGCCACACUGGAACUGAGACACGGCCCAGACUCCUACGGGAGGCAGCAGUGGGGAAUUUUGGACAAUGGGGGCAAGCCUGAUCCAGCCAUGCCGCGUGCGGGAAGAAGGCCUUCGGGUUGUAAACCGCUUUUGUUCGGGAAGAAAUCCUCUGGGCUAAUACCCCGGGGGGAUGACGGUACCGGAAGAAUAAGCACCGGCUAACUACGUG
rnacentral:rRNA from 1 species